UUUAUAGAGUUUAUUCAUAGCAUGUUAAAAAGAGGAAUGCAUAAAUCUCAUAUAAUUCUUUUAAGUACAAGGUUGCUUUUUAUUAAACAAAUAACAGAACGUCAAGAGCAUGUUUUACCAUAAUUUUUCUGGUGACUGAAUGUGUGUGGAAUUGUUUGAAGAUUGUGCCACCAGGACCUCUUUUGUGUAUUUAAAGACACAGCCGAGGAUAUAUUAGUUAUUUCAAAGAUUAGUCAUAGUGAGUAAAAUGACUAAAAAACCCGCCUACAACACUUUUUUUUAUUAUUAUUUCUUUUUGUUACAUUUAUCUUGAGGGGUGGGACAUGGGUGUUGGGACUUGUGUGUGGUGCUCAGGGGACAACUUUCAGGAGUCACUUCUCUCCUUCAACCACAUGAGCCCCUGGCAUGAAGCUCAGAUAUUCAGGCUUGGUGACAACUCCUACCAGCUGAGCCUUCUAACCUGCCUAAUACUUCUUGGUGUGAUAGACUACUGUUGUCUUCUCAUGUAAGUUAUCGGAGGCAGUUUAAGUGGUGUCACUACACUUUAGCCCUCAGUUAAAGUUCUUAAAUAAGACGUUGGUAAUUUCAUAUACUGAAUUUUGGUGAUUUUUACCACCUUACUCUGAAACCCUUCUCCCCAGCAAGCCAUCUUUCUACUUUAAUCUCUUAGUCAUUUGGUUGUUUACCUGCUGAAUUUAAAUAUGGAUGCCUGCCUGCCCUUUGGAGUAGUUUUCCAUUGCAGAUUGAUCUACAUACUGUUAAUCUCCCUUUUCUUUUUUAUUUAUUUUUAUUUUUAUUUUUUGAGAUUGUCCUCCUUUUUUCUUAAGAAUAAAAAAAAUCUCACUUCGUUGAUGUGUUUCCGUCUCUUUCCUUGAAGGUUCAGCGAGGAUUAGGAAGUGGAGCCAUCAAUGUUAAUAUGUACAUUAAAGAUGAGCACUUGCGUCUUAUUUUAGGACCAUCAACCUUGACAGCUCCUUUUUAAUCACCGGGAUUUGAACAGAUAUGUAAACACGGGAACGAGAAGUAAAGGGCUCACGAUUGAGAAGUCAGAUCAUCGAGAAAAUUGCCGGAGAGGGGACACAGGUUGGUAAUUCCUUCACGAUGCUCUGAUUCCAGAAAUCUGCAGUUGUCAUACAAGUGGAAAACGGAAACCACCUAGACUGAGCGAACCCAGCGAACAGCGUGCAUUUGUUAAUUGUCCAGUCUGAGAAGCCGAGGGCGUCUCCCACACAGAAAUCCCCGGACUCCUACUGAUCCUGGGGAAAUCAGGGUCCCUUCCUGUCUUUCUUAUUCUCGUUAAUAUAAGAAUUCAUGAAUGGAGCAAGCAGAAGUUUAAAGGGUAAAAACAAAACAAGCAAGCAAGCAAGCAAACAAACAAACAAUGGCAACAGAGUAGGCAUGCCUUAACUAUCAGCAGCUGCCCAGAGGAGGAGAAUGGGGGAGGGAAGGAAAAGGCCACGGUGUGUGAGUUAUCAGCACGGAGGCACACCACAUGGCUGAAGAUAGCCACAUUUUGGGGACAGGGGCUGAGGAAAGAAGCUCAAAGUACUUGAAAAAACAAACUUAGAUUCUGGUCAGCACGUGAAAGAGAUAGAAAACAAGAAAGAAAAAUGUUGCACCGUUUUGAGUCCUCACUCAGAAGGGUGUUUGGGCAGAGGCAGCAGAACCUCUGGUUGGCUCCGCUCCUAGAGGCUGGGCUGUGGGCAGGGUGGGGUUGUAGGAGUUCUGGGAAGGAAUAGAAUAGUAUCCAUUAAAGGGCUAAUUAUUCCAUCCAUUUCUUUAACAUGGCUUGAGGUGAACAUACCUUCUUAGGGGUGGCCCCUUUAGCCAGGCUGGGGACCCUGUUUAGCUGGAAUAUUAUUAGAUCUCUGCCCAGGCCAGAGAUCCUAUUCUCUUUACCAGGAGUUUUUCCUUAUUGGGCCUCUACUGCUGCUUUAACACCGUGACUCUGGUGUUUGCCCUCCUUUGAUGCCCUCCUGGGGAACUGAUGAGUGAUAAAUCAACAGAGCCAUUUAAUAUCUUCCUCUACAACUCUUUGCUGGUGAAAUAGGCCUUUUUCUUUGUUUAUUUAAAGACCGGUAUACAUUUAAAUAGCAUCUGUCAUUGCUCUCUCACUUGUAGGUCAAAGUCAGCCCGUGUGCUUUGGAGGACAUCCUAAGUGGGAAAUGAGAACUCAGUGGGACUCGAUGUCCUGCAGUCACAGACAACAUUGAUGGGGAAAAGACAGCCUCUGGCCAGUCUUAUGGAUGACGACUGUAUCUGGAAGGGACAGAAGAGCAGAAGCUGAGUGAGCUGACUUGUAAGAGAAGGCAGGAAGAUGUCUUGGACACUGCCCAUUGCAGAACUUCAUCCCACCUCCCUGAGGGAGUUUCAUCAAGCCGAAGCUGGGCAUCUGCCAUCAGAGCUACAACUUGUUGAUGGGCCACCCUGACAGCCUGGAGGCUGCAUGUACUCUUCUCACCCGGCCUCCAUCACCCUGCACUUAUGUCUUCCCUGUCUCUCUCCUUCUCUCUUUGCCUUGGACGGCUACAUUUCUCACCAUGUCUGUGACUGGCCUCCUGGGGGUGACCCGUUCUUUAUACAGUAUGACCCUAUAGUUUAUCUACCCUUUAUUCAACCCGUAGCCCUCAGAAGCUUUGACAUUGCAUUCUAUUUUUUUUUAAUGUUUAUUAUGUUCUUUUUCAGGCUUUCUAUGUGCAUGCAGGUGAAUGUGGUAGAUGCAUAUGCAGUGUACCUUUGAGUGUGUGUGUGUGUGGUAUACUUCUGUGAGUGUGCAUGAGUUUGUGUGUGUAUGUGUAUGUAUGUG